GUGACAAUUUAACAUCGGCGCCGGAGUUGCAUCAGUUUGUUACUUGGGUUGUUACUGCUCUAGCAAUGGGAAUUGUUGCAGGUUGAAGGCACAAGUGUUUGGAGAAUGUCAAAUACAAUGUUCUCAUAAUUUUAGAAUUUGUUUAAAUGUAAUUUGAACUUUAAUUUUUAUUGGUGAUGUAAAUUAAUUGAGUCCUCUGUGUUUGUGUUGAGAGUCAAUAAUUAAUUAUUUAAAUUUUGGAAGGAUUUA